UACGUAGGGGGCAAGCGUUGUCCGGAAUUAUUGGGCGUAAAGAGCGUGUAGGCGGCCAGAUAAGUCCGCUGUGAAAUCUCGAGGCUCAACCUCGAGACGUCGGUUGAAACCACCUGGCUAGAGUCCGGAAGAGGAGAGUGGAAUUCCUGGUGUAGCGGUGAAAUGCGCAGAUAUCAGGAGGAACACCAAUAGCGAAGGCAGCUCGCUGGGACGGUACUGACGCUAAGGCGCGAAAGCGUGGGGAGCGAACAGG
rnacentral:rRNA from 1 species